AAGACUAUACUUUCAGGGAUCAUAUCUACAGUUCAUUACUAGAGAAGAUUUUCUGACUGUGUAGAGUAGCAGAAACCAUGAGGAGGAGAAGUACCCUUUUCUCCUGAGCAUGAAGCCAGCUCUUGGUCUUGAUUUGCUACAACUGCCUUUUCCCAUUAAUGAUCGUUCUUCUCUCUUUUGGUAGAGUUAAAAAAAACUAUAUAUAUGUU
ensembl:snoRNA U3 Small nucleolar RNA U3